rnacentral:sRNA from 1 species
GAAACUUGCGAGUGUCGCGUCUGCAGUGUGUGGGGUUCGCGGGGCGGCGGGCAGAGGUGAGUGUUUAGAGACUUAGGGUCUCUGACUCGCCUCCAGCAUGGAGACAGGUCAUCGGUCUGGUCUGCGUGGGCUUCUGGGAAUGUUUCAGGGGCAGGGAGAGCGCGCUUUUUUUUUUUUUUUCUGUUGUUCGCUAGCGCGUGAGGUCGGUGUUGCGGGGAGCUCUCGGGGAGUCCUCGCUCGGAGUUCGUUUCGCAGUCGUGUUGGGGUUCCCAGAGUCUGGGAGCCCAUGGUCUCCGCAUUGGAACCAGCGCUUGGGAGGUCUUCGUUGCACAGUAGCGCUAGGGCGUCGUGGUGGGGAAGCGAAUCGUGUCAGUGUUGGAGACUGCUCUGGGCAGUUCGUGUUCAUUGCUUAUCACAUGCGUACUUAAAAAGGGGCCUGCUGGUCCCCUUGCUUCCCUGCUACUGUAUAUUCUGUAGAAAAUUGGUUUUCAGGUUCAUUGCGACCCAAGUAAUAACAUCCCCAUCAUUUUAAAUACUCCUCCAGAAAAUAACUCUGGUUUAGUGUAUUUCAUGUUUAAUGUUGGGAUCAGGUGUCUAGGUAUUGGUAUAAUUUUAUUCGUCUUUAAUAAUAUCUUGUCAACUUCGUAUUCCCAUAUUACAUGCUCUUUGAGAGUUUUUUAAAUUGCUGGAGUUUCAUCAAGUGGUUGCUUUAAUUUGGGUAGAAUUGAUGUAGAUCUAGAUACAACACUUUCAGGAACAUGUGAUGGAUUUCUAUUAACCCAAUAUUUUUAUUUGUUUGACUAUCUGUAGUGUUUUUCCAUACGUAUCUUGCACAUUUCUGGUUAUGCUUAUUUCUACAUAGUUAAUACUUUUUGUUGUAAAUCGUGACUUUUUUUUCGCAUAAGACCCCUCCCCCUUUCCUUUUUUGUUCCUAAUUUCACUUAGUUGACAAGAACAGAAGUUAAAAAUAUAUAUGUUUAUUCUGUCACUUCAUUCUACUCAUGUCAUUACACAUAACUUAUAAAUUGACGUCUUUUUUCUAGUUGAGCAUUUUUGUCAUCUGCAAAUAAUUUUAGCCAGGUGGCAAGUGUAUGGACUGUGGAGUAAGAAGUACCUGCCUCUGCCUCUGACUUGGGUUCUGGCCUAUAGGAACAAGACAUUUUCAGUAAUGGAAGAAGGAGCUUCCAGGCUGGGGAAGAUCAUCGUUUCCAGUGGUAGCUUGACCUGAGAUGAUACCUGACCACCACUUCUGGGAAGGCCCAGAAUAGACAGAAGAGAGAGAACAUCCUAGAGUUGCUAGCCCCUAAGAGUUGAACGAAAUGGGCAAGGCCCAGCUGAAAUAACAGGAAACACAUGAAAAAUGCCACGAUUGUAAUGUCUGUGAGGAGAGAGCAAGGCAGUUCUGCAGGGGAGGGGUCAUUGUCAUUCGAAGAUGUGGCUGUGGGCUUCACCAGGGAGGAGUGGCAGUUUUUGGACCAGUCUCAGAAGGUCUUGUACAGGGAAGUAAUGUUGGAGAACUACAGCAACCUAGUAUCAAUAGGGUAUCAAGGCACCAAGCCAGAUUCGCUCUUCAAGUUGGAGCAAGGAGAACCCCCAGGGAUUGUAGAAGGAGCAGCCCACAGUCAAAUCUGUCCAGGGUAUUCAUUCAGGAGAAGGACCCUACAGAUGGAGGGAAUGCAGGAAAGCUAAGAAGAAUCACACCUCAUUGCAGAUCUGCAUUACCGUUGAAAACAGCAGCCUCAGAACCACAGUAGCCAUGAAAACCAUCAGCCUUCAACCACCACCCUUGUAUCAGAGGAGACAAAUAAGCUUGGAAAUCCUCAAAAAGCCUCAUCCUCAGAGCAAUGUCAUUAUAUAUCUUGUCUUAC